AAUAUAUCAGGGGGGCAUUUCCUUGUUAGAUCAUUGAAUCUCUCCCAGGCUUCUUAUAAGGUUUCACCAUCUUGCUGUCUAAAUGUCUGCAUCUCGGUUCUCAGUCU